AUCCCUCCGUAGGGGGAACCUGCGGAGGGAUYAUCUACGUGAGUUUACGCUCUACAACCCUUUGUGAACAUACCUACAACUGUUGCUUCGGCGGGUAGGGUCUCCGCGACCCUCCCGGCCUCCCGCCUCCGGGCGGGUCGGCGCCCGCCGGAGGAUAACCAAACUCUGAUUUAACGACGUUUCUUCUGAGUGGUACAAGCAAAUAAUCAAAACUUUUAACAACGGAUCUCUUGGUUCUGGCAUCGAUGAAGAACGCAGCGAAAUGCGAUAAGUAAUGUGAAUUGCAGAAUUCAGUGAAUCAUCGAAUCUUUGAACGCACAUUGCGCCCGCCAGCAUUCUGGCGGGCAUGCCUGUUCGAGCGUCAUUUCAACCCUCAAGCUCUGCUUGGUGUUGGGGCCCUACAGCCGAUGUAGGCCCUCAAAGGUAGUGGCGGACCCUCCCGGAGCCUCCUUUGCGUAGUAACUUUACGUCUCGCACUGGGAUCCGGAGGGACUCUUGCCGUAAAACCCCCCAAUUUUCCAAAGGUUGACCUCGGAUCAGGUAGGARUACCMGCURAAYUUWMGCAUAUCAAUAAGGCCGGAGGAA
rnacentral:rRNA from 1 species